CGGAAUAUAGCGCAGCUUGGUAGCGUGCCAUCUUGGGGUGGUGGAGGUCGCAGGUUCAAAUCCUGCUAUUCCGA
rnacentral:tRNA from 4 species